UCCUGAUCCUUUAAUAUAUGC
rnacentral:piRNA from 1 species